UGGGGAAUAUUGCACAAUGGGCGCAAGCCUGAUGCAGCCAUGCCGCGUGUAUGAAGAAGGCCUUCGGGUUGUAAAGUACUUUCAGCGAGGAGGAAGGCGUUGUGGUUAAUAACCGCAACGAUUGACGUUACUCGCAGAAGAAGCACCGGCUAACUCCGUGCCAGCAGCCGCGGUAAUACGGAGGGUGCAAGCGUUAAUCGGAAUUACUGGGCGUAAAGCGCACGCAGGCGGUUUGUUAAGUCAGAUGUGAAAUCCCCCGGGGCUCAACCUGGGAACUGCAUUUGAAACUGGCAAGCUAGAGUCUCGUAGAGGGGGGGUAGAAUUCCAGUGUAGCGGUGAAAUGCGUUAGAGAUCUGGAGGAAUACCGGUGGCGAAGGCGGCCCCCUGGACGAAGACUGACGCUCAGGUGCGAAAGCGUGGGAGCAAACA
rnacentral:rRNA from 1 species